rnacentral:rRNA from 1 species
UACGAAGGGUGCAAGCGUUACUCGGAAUUACUGGGCGUAAAGCGUGCGUAGGCGGUUUGUUAAGUCCGCUGUGAAAGCCCUGGGCUCAACCUGGGAAUUGCAGUGGAUACUGGCAAGCUAGAGUGCGGUAGAGGAUGGUGGAAUUCCCGGUGUAGCGGUGAAAUGCGUAGAGAUCAGGAGGAACACCCGUGGCGAAGGCGGCCAUCUGGACCAGCACUGACGCUGAGACGCGAAAGCGUGGGGAGCAAACAGG